rnacentral:rRNA from 1 species
CCUACGGGAGGUCAGCAGUGGGGAAGUUUUAGGUACAAUGGACGCAAGUCUGAUCCAGCAAUGCCGCGUGCAGGAUGAAGGCCUUCGGGUUGUAAACUGCUUUUGUACGGAACGAAAAGGUCUGCCCUAAUACGGUGGGCCCAUGACGGUACCGUAAGAAUAAGCACCGGCUAACUACGUGCCAGCAGCCGCGGUAAUACGUAGGGUGCAAGCGUUAAUCGGAAUUACUGGGCGUAAAGCGUGCGCAGGCGGUUAUAUAAGACAGAUGUGAAAUCCCCGGGCUCAACCUGGGACCUGCAUUUGUGACUGUAUAGCUAGAGUACGGUAGAGGGGGAUGGAAUUCCGCGUGUAGCAGUGAAAUGCGUAGAUAUGCGGAGGAACACCGAUGGCGAAGGCAAUCCCCUGGACCUGUACUGACGCUCAUGCACGAAAGCGUGGGGAGCAAACAGGAUUAGAUACCCUGGUAGUCCACGCCCUAAACGAUGUCACUGUUGUGNUCUUCUNUNUNUAUAGAGNACGCGUGAGU